UACGGAGGGUCCAAGCGUUAUCCGGAAUCAUUGGGUUUAAAGGGUCCGUAGGCGGUUUUGUAAGUCAGUGGUGAAAGCCCAUCGCUCAACGGUGGAACGGCUAUUGAUACUGCAAGACUUGAAUUAUUGGGAAGUAACUAGAAUAUGUAGUGUAGCGGUGAAAUGCUUAGAGAUUACAUGGAAUACCAAUUGCGAAGGCAGCUUACUACACAGUGAUUGACACUGAGGCACGAAAGCGUGGGGAUCAAACAGG
rnacentral:rRNA from 1 species